UCUAAUUGUAGUGACAAGUCUAAUUCCAGUAAUGUUGAUCAUUUAGUCGGCGGCGGAUCCCUUCGGAAUUUAAUAUCGGAUGAGACUUUUUUCGUUAUGGAUAGUAAUAAGGACGGUUAUUCCAUAUAUUUUGAUAUUGAAAAUAAAAAUUUUGAGAUUGACACCGACCGUUCUUUUCUAAGUGAACUAAAAAGUUCGUUUUAUAGUUAUCAGACUUCGAGUUAUAUGAAUAAUGCAACUAAAAGUGACGAUAAUCGCCACGACCAUUACGUGUAUGAUACUAAUUACUAAUUAUAGUUGGAAUAAUCACAUUACUAGUUGCAUUGACAGUUAUCUUCGGUCUCAAAUUUGUCUUGAUAGUUAUAUUUUAAGCAAUAGUGACAAUUACAGUGAUAGUUACAUUUAUAGUUACAUUUGUGGCGAAAGCAGAAAUAGUAGUAAAAGCGGGAGUUCCAGUAUCAAAACUAGCAAGGAUGGUAGUGAUUUAACUAUAAGAUCUAAUAAUUUAAAUGUAACUCAAAAAUACAGGCAUUUGUGGAUUCAAUGUGAAAAUUGUUAUGGAUUAAAUUAUAAGAAAUUUUUAAAAUCCAAAAUGAAUAUUUGUGAACAGUGUGGAUGUCAUUUGAAAAUGAGUAGUUUCGAUAGAAUCGAACUUUCGAUUGAUCCGGGUACUUGGGAUCCUAUGAAUGAAGACAUGGUCUCUCUGGAUCCCAUUGAAUUUCAUUCGGAAGAGGUAACCUUAUAAAGAUCGUAUUGAUUCUUAUCAAAAAAAUACAGGAUUAACUGAGGCUGUUCAAACAGGCACAGGUCAAUUAAAUGGCAUUCCCGUAGCAAUCGGGGUUAUGGAUUUUCAGUUUAUGGGGGGUAGUAUGGGAUCCGUAGUAGGUGAAAAAAAUCACACGUUUUGGCUGAGUAUGCUACCAAUAAACUUUUACCUCUUAUUCUAGUGUGUGCUUCCGGAGGAGCCCGCAUGCAAGAAGGAAGUUUGAGCUUAAUGCAAAUGGCUAAAAAUAUCUUCCGUUUUAUAUGAUUAUCAAUCAAAUAAAAAAUUAUUUUAUGUCGCAGUUCUUACAUCCCCUACCACGGGUGGGGUGACGGCUAGUUUUGGUAUGUUGGGAGAU